rnacentral:rRNA from 1 species
GCACAAGCGGUGGAUGAUGUGGUUUAAUUCGAUGCAACGCGAAAACCUUACCCACCUUUGACAUGGCAGGAAUCCUGAAGAGAUUGGGAGUGCUCGAAAGAGAACCUGCACACAGGUGCUGCAUGGCUGUCGUCAGCUCGUGUCGUGAGAUGUUGGGUUAAGUCCCGCAACGAGCGCAACCCUUGCCAUUAGUUGCUACGAAAGGGCACUCUAAUGGGACUGCCGGUGACAAACCGGAGGAAGGUGGGGAUGACGUCAAGUCCUCAUGGCCCUUAUAGGUGGGGCUACACACGUCAUACAAUGGCCGGUACAGAGGGUAGCCAACCCGCGAGGGGGAGCCAAUCCCACAAAGCCGGUCGUAGUCCGGAUCGCAGUCUGCAACUCGACUGCGUGAAGUCGGAAUCGCUAGUAAUCGUGGAUCAGAAUGUCACGGUGAAUACGUUCCCGGGUCUU